rnacentral:rRNA from 1 species
UUUCAUGGCGGCCCGUACCCUAAACCGACUCAGGUGGUCAGGUAGAGAAUACCGAGGCGUUCGGGUGAACUAUGGUUAAGGAACUCGGCAAAAUGCCCCCGUAACUUCGGGAGAAGGGGGGCCAUUCCUGGUGAUGAUCUUUACGGUCUGAGCUGGGGGUGGCCGCAGAGACCAGCGAGAAGCGACUGUUUACUAAAAACACAGGUCCGUGCGAAGCCGUAAGGCGAUGUAUACGGACUGACGCCUGCCCGGUGCUGGAACGUUAAGGGGACCGG